rnacentral:rRNA from 1 species
ACGGAAGGCAGCAGUGGGGAAUAUUGCACAAUGGGGGGAACCCUGAUGCAGCAACGCCACGUGUGGGAAGAAGCAUUUCGGUGUGUAAACCACUGUCGUGAGGGAAUAAUGCUUGAUUUCGGUCCAGUUGAAUGUACUUUGAAAGGAAGCACCGGCAAACUUCGUGCCAGCAGCCGCGGUAAUACGAGGGGUGCAAGCGUUGUUCGGAAUCACUGGGCGUAAAGGGAGCGCAGGCGGAGAUGCAAGCAGUCUGUACAAUCCCGGGGCCCACCCCCGGGCCUGCAGCCUGGCCUGUUUCUCUUGGAUAGCUCAGGGGCUGGCGGAAUUCCUGGUGUAGCGGUGGAAUGCGUAGAGAUCAGGAAGAACACCGAUGGCGAAGGCAGCCAGCUGGGGGCCUAUCGACGCUCAUGCUCGAAAGUGCGGGUAGCAAACAGGAUUAGAUACCCUGGUA